UCGAGAGUUUGAUCCUGGCUCAGGAUGAACGCUAGCGGCAGGCUUAACACAUGCAAGUCGAGGGGUAUAGUUCUUCGGAACUAGAGACCGGCGCACGGGUGCGUAACGCGUAUGCAAUCUACCUUUCACAGAGGGAUAGCCCAGAGAAAUUUGGAUUAAUACCUCAUAGUAUGUGAGAAUCGCAUGGUUUUCACAUUAAAGUUCCAACGGUAAAAGAUGAGUAUGCGUCCCAUUAGCUAGAUGGUAAGUAACGGCUUACCGAUGGCAACGAUGGGUAGGGGUCCUGAGAGGGGACAGUCCCCCCACGA
rnacentral:rRNA from 1 species